rnacentral:rRNA from 1 species
CGUGUAGGCGGCAUGGUAAGUCGGGUGUGAAAUCCCUCAGCUCAACUGAGGAAGUGCGCCCGAAACUGCCGUGCUUGAGUGCCGGAGAGGAUGGCGGAAUUCCCCAAGUAGAGGUGAAAUUCGUAGAUAUGGGGAGGAACACCGGUGGCGAAGGCGGUCAUCUGGACGGCAACUGACGCUGAGACGCGAAAGCGUGGGUAGCAAACA